rnacentral:lncRNA from 1 species
CAAAUUAGUGGGAUAGACCGACUCAAGUUGGUGUAGUGAUAUUGAGGAUUGAAAAUCCACAACAUGCUAUGUGUUUAUGCUAGGUGGUGCACCAGUUGCUAGAGUUCGAGAAAGAAGCCAGUAGUGGAAUUAUUGUCAUGCAAAUAGAAUACAUAGUUUCUUCUCUUUGUGCAUGUCAAGCAACAUGGAUGUGAAUCUGGUCGAAGAGAUAACAACAAAGAGUCAUGGAGCAAUUACCAUGAAAAUUGACAGCAUGUCAG